CCUACGGGUGGCAGCAGUGAGGAAUAUUGGUCAAUGGGCGAGAGCCUGAACCAGCCAAGUCGCGUGAAGGAUGACGGCCCUACGGGUUGUAAACUUCUUUUGUCGGGGAGCAAGGGCGGGGACGUGUCCCGGCCCGGAGAGUACCCGGAGACAAAGCAUCGGCUAACUCCGUGCCAGCAGCCGCGGUAAUACGGAGGAUGCGAGCGUUAUCCGGAUUUAUUGGGUUGAAAGGGUGCGUAGGCGGGCUUUUAAGUCAGCGGUAAAAAUUCGGGGCUCAACCCCGUCCGGCCGUUGAAACUGGGGGCCUUGAGUGGGCGAGAAGAAGGCGGAAUGCGUGGUGUAGCGGUGAAAUGCAUAGAUAUCACGCAGAACCCCGAUUGCGAAGGCAGCCUGCCGGCGCCCGACUGACGCUGAGGCACGAAAGUGCGGGGAUCGAACAGGAUUAGAUACCCGAGUAGUC
rnacentral:rRNA from 1 species